ACCAGGAUGGCCGAGUGGUUAAGACACUGGACUUCAGCUCCAAUGGAUGGAAGUCCACGUGGGUUCAAACCCCACUCCUGGUA